AGCUUCCUCCUUGGCACCUGAAGCCAGCCUCAGCUUCCUCCUGUUCCUAUUGACCCUGGAGUCUCUGACUCAGGCAGACUGACACCCCAUCUCUGCAGCUCCCUGUUUCUGCCAGCCUUGGGGAUGUAGAGAAUGCAAUUUGAAGAAACUCACAACUGUCCAGUAGCUGGGAUUGGAAUACAGAUCGCUUGAGCUACCUCUCAUGCAAGGACUUAAGAAGCAAGGAUGAGGAAAGAGAUCAUUUCCCUGAGACAUGGCUGAUGGCAGAGCGUCGAGAUGACCUGGUCAGGGAUUGAGCAGGUGCUAGUGUGCUGGUCAUUGAGUGAACCCAGCAUCUGGGGUGAUAGACUAGGGUCACCUGGAAGCUUUGAUCUUCAAGGCAUCGGCACAUGAAUAUUAGCCAGAAUGCAAGAUGACAGACUCCUUCCAGAAUCACCUCCGAGGCACUACCAAUUGAUCUGAGUUGGAUGAAUGUGGUGAGAUCCAGUGGUCUCCUUGACUAACACCUGCCCAACCACGGGCAAAGCCCUCGUGUCACUCUGGCUGCUGUAACAGAUGACCAUAUUGGUGACUUCAAACAAUGGAAGUUUUUCCUCUCACAAUGCCAGA